CCACCUCCCACCCUCCUUCACCCACCUCCCACUCAGGACGGGGGGACGACGUCUCUUUCUUCUACGGCUCGAUAGCUGUUUUCGGGGUUUUUUACUCGAUUUCUCUCUGGGAGGUGGCGCUGUUCCUCUCGGAGAGAUAGGGAAACGAUUUUCGUUUGGGGGGUUCCAUUGUUCUUUUAUGCGAUUUGCGGGGGUUUUCGUCACGGUAUUCAAAUUGCGACCGUCUUGUAGAGGGGAUGCUUUUACAUUGCAACGUCGUGAUCCCGCUUUGAUUGAGAUAAAGGGGUUGGUGUGAUUUAAAUGUAAAAAAGAAUCGCUUAUUUUUAGUUAGUUUUUCUCCCGACAGGUGGUUCUGACGCCAAUCCAUAAUUCAAGGCCGACGAACUUCAACGCGGCCUUGGAUUGGAAUUCAAAAAAAAAAAACAAGGCUGGCUGCUAUUCAAAAACAAAACAAGGCUGGCUGCUAAUCAAUCAACUGAAUCAAGGCAAGUUUAAAGAAAAAUCUGGUACAAUAGCCGUACGGUUUUUUAUAUACCGAAAAGCAUUCAUUCAUCAUGGAGUCCAGGAUGAUUUACGAUGUGAUGGUAGAACAAUGCUGGAUUAUCACCCUAUAAUUCUUGAAACUACAUUAGUUUCCAAUGCCAGUGGAUCGGCAAGGCUGAGACUUGCAAACUCAUCAACAUCUGGAAAAUGAAAUUUGCAAAUUCCUACAAAGAUCCUAUGCUUCAGUCCUGAUGUAUCAACACUGGUGCAGAGUCUACGACAAGCCAUGGCCCUUGAAGCUAAAUUCCAACCAAAGCUUCAACUUCUGUCAACACUCAACAGCCAGCAAUACAGGAGAAAGCGGUGAAAUUAUGUGUGCAAUGAGGCAUGGAGCUGCUCAUGUUCUUCGCUGCAUGAAAGUCUGGUAUGAUCUUCCUUGUGCAGUUCUUCUGGAUGCUCUCAACAUGAUGGACUGGUUCAUGAGCCGCAUGAAAGCACUCCUAAACACCUCUCAUGCAUAGCAAUCAGCUCCUUCCAUCUAGCAGCUUGCCAAUGGGUGGAGAGGAUUAAACAGAACAACAUUGAGGUAUCUUCCAUUCAGAGUCCAUUGUAGAUUGUUCCUGAACCUCAAUAUCUGGUAACGAUAUCUUAAUGUAAAUGUACCGCCGGAGACAUCAACCGGAUGGAAAAAAUUGUCGAAGCCAAGUUAGCUUGUCUACCCCAAGGUCACCGGUCACGACCUUAACAUUCCUCAACCUGUAUCACUCACUUCUCUCGACGACUUUACCUGCCGCUCUUCAGCAAGACCUUCUUAUUCUUUCAUGCAAGCAGGAGACCAUUUGCUGUGACGCAAAAUAAUGCUGCCUUUCCCUCAUCUCUUUUGGCUUACGUCCUACUGUUUGUCGAAAUGAAGUGUCACCAGCCGGCCAUCGAGGUUAUUAUCAGAGACGUUUUACUAGAAAUUCAGCGACUUGUUAAGGUCAAAGAUGACUAGUUAAAGGAGUGAGGGACUCAUCGUCAACGACUUACCUGGAAGUUGUCCUUUUUCUAAUAUUUCUUUGCCUUCUAAACAAUUUAUAAUAAGUUUUGCCUUUAGAAAAGGAAAAUGCCUAACUUUUUCUAGUCCUAUACCACUUACUGGUUGAGCCUGUGUAAAUUCGGGUCUCAAUGAUAUAUGAUUACCACUCUUAACAAGAAAACUAUAUAUUUCUUUACUCACUAGGGGAGACUGGAGUAAA
rnacentral:lncRNA from 1 species